rnacentral:misc_RNA from 1 species
UCCGAGUUGACCCCGGCAGUCUUCGAUGAGUCCCCGCCAUAACGCGCUGGCAACAUCGAACGAGGGUUGCGCUCGUUGCGGGACUUAACCCAACAUUUCACAACACGAGCUGACGACAGCCAUGCACCGCCUGUGAAUCACCCUCGAAGGCGACUACUUUUCGGUAGCUUGCAGAUCCAUGUCAAGCCCUGGUAAGGUUCUUCGCGUUGCAUCGAAUUAAGCCACAUGCUCCACCGCUUGUGCGGGCCCCCGCCAAUUCCUUUGAGUUUUAAUCUUGCGAUCGUAGUUCCCAGGCGGUUCACUUAAUGCGUUAGCUGCGGCACCGAGGCAAAGCCGGAGGAAGGUGGGGAUGACGUCACGCAACUAACCA